rnacentral:rRNA from 1 species
UACGUAGGGGGCAAGCGUUGUCCGGAAUCAUUGGGCGUAAAGCGCGUGUAGGCGGCCCGAUAAGUCCGCUGUGAAAGUCCAGGGCUCAACCCUGGAAUGCCGGUGGAUACUGUCGGGCUAGAGUCCGGAAGAGGCGAGUGGAAUUCCUGGUGUAGCGGUGAAAUGCGCAGAUAUCAGGAAGAACACCAAUGGCGAAGGCAGCUCUCUGGGACGGUACUGACGCUGAGACGCGAAAGCGUGGGGAGCGAACAGG